CAGCAGCCGCGAGAAAACGGAGGGAGCUAGCGUUAUUCGGAAUUACUGGGCGUAAAGCGCACGUAGGCGGCUUUGUAAGUUAGAGGUGAAAGCCUGGAGCUCAACUCCAGAAUUGCCUUUAAGACUGCAUCGCUUGAAUCCAGGAGAGGUGAGUGGAAUUCCGAGUGUAGAGGUGAAAUUCGUAGAUAUUCGGAAGAACACCAGUGGCGAAGGCGGCUCACUGGACUGGUAUUGACGCUGAGGUGCGAAAGCGUGGGGAGCAAACAGGAUUAGAGACCCCCGUAGUCCCUGUCUCUUAUAC
rnacentral:rRNA from 1 species